rnacentral:rRNA from 1 species
ACCUGCGGAAGGAUCAUUGUCGUGACCCUGACCAAAAGAGACUGUGAACAUGUCAUCUAAGCCACCGAGUGAUUUGACUUGCUCCCAUUGCUCGGUACUGGCCACUGACCUUGCAUAGGAUAGUGGCUGGAAAACAACCCACGGCGCCACAUGGCGCCAAGGAAAACUAAUAUUGCUUGCUUAGGGGCAACGUCAAACUUGCCGGAUGUACCCUAUGCUGCGAUGCUUUGAUAAUCCACAUGACUCUCAGCAACGGAUAUCUAGGCUCUUGCAUCGAUGAAGAACGUAGCAAAAUGCGAUACCUGAUGUGAAUUGCAGAAUCCCGUGAACCAUCAAGUUUUUGAACGCAAGUUGCGCCUAAGGCCUUUUGGCCGAGGGCACGUCUGCCUGGGCGUCACGUCAAAAGACACUCCCCAUCCUCUCUGGUGUGGAUGUGGAAUUUGGCCCAUCGUGCCACAGAGCUCGGUGAGCCAAAGUUAGGGUUGCCGGCGGUGCCAAUCGCAGCACAUGGUGGAUGACUCAGGUCUUUCUCAGUGCCAUGCUGUGGAUUGAUACCGGGGUUAAAUGGCCCUUUGGACCCAUACACUGAAGAAUAAUUUGCUCAUACCGCGACCCCAGGUCAGUCGGGAUUACCCGCUGAAUUUAAGCAUAUCAAUAAGCGG